rnacentral:lncRNA from 1 species
UGAUGUCGGAGGUGAGGCCGAGAUCAGAGGCUUAUCACAGUUGAUUGGACUCCGCUGAGCUGAUUUGCCAUGGAGAGCCGUAGGUCCGUAGAUAAUAGGAAAGCCAUGCGCAUUAAUUGUUGAGUAAGCCGGAGGUGCGCAUUAAUAGUUGAGUAGGCCGAAGAGUCGCAUUAAUUGUUGAGUAAACUGGGGGUUUGCAGAGGUCAUGCGCAAUAAAUGCUGGGGCAGUGGCAGGAUAUGGCCCUC